UGCAUUGCACUUUGCCACGCUCUUUGUGUUGCAAAAUUCAAAUGGCAAUUCGAUCUGCAAUCUGUCAAGUCACUCGUCAAGGCGGGAACUAGGCUACGUCACUUCCGUGUUUACGUCUUACCCAGUUAGCGCUUGUUAAAUUAUGAAACUGAAUAUUGAAAAUUGAAAU